rnacentral:tRNA from 1 species
GCCGAAGUGGCGGAAUGGCAGACGCGGGGGUCUCAAACACCCCUGAGGGCAACCUCGUGUGGGUUCGAAUCCCACCUUCGGUACCA